AUCUUUAUUUUUCUUGCAUCGCUUAACUCUAAUUGUUAUUCCGAUGACUCGUCGUACUGGAUAUUUAUGUUUUGAUUUGUUAUCAUCGAAUAUAGCCACUCUUGUGAUUCUGUUACCCACAAAAGUGUGUUAGAUGUUGUGCAUCGCUGUUUGCAGUUUUUGAGUUGACCCGGCGCGUUUAAAUAGAGUUGCACUUCACAUGAUGCGUUCGUGUUAAUAUGAUAGGAAAAUCUCGUUCAUAUGUAUAUAUUUGCCUGUCUUGUAUACAUAUGAACGAGAUUUGUAGUUCGCUUUCGUCUGAUAAUAUGUAGUGGUGAUUUUCCUUAUCUGUCGCUACUAACGGGUAAUAAAUUUUUAUAAAUGUGAAGGUACUUUCGUAAUUGCAUAUCGGUAAUGAUAUAGUUUUUAUCAAUUUAAAUGUCGGAAACGCGACUAUCGGAAAACGAAUAAUCAUGUAGGUAUCUGGUUUGUUAAAAUACGCGCUUAUAAUUAUAUAUUUUUAAAUGAUACGCCAAUUUUCCACCCAUAUUUUAAACGGAAAAUGUAAGCCUUCAAUUAAUUAUGUUGCUGCUUCUCGCAGCUCUAUUAUAAUUUUUUUUCUAACGAUAGUAGUCGUGUUUGCAUUACUCCAUCUUUUGUUAACGACGAGUAGUCGAUUGUAUUUUCAUGUCUCUUAUAAAAUCUGUCAUUAUCGUCCGUAGUAUUAGUAAAUUUGACCAUGUCUUCUCUUUGAGUGUAUUUUACUAACUGUAAUCUGUACGAUAACGUUUUGUAAUCUAUUUUUGUUAUAGCUAAUGGUCUUUUCUAACGCGGCCUACUGUGACGUUAAUAAUUUUUAUUUGGUUUUUUUGUUGCUUGUUACAAGAUUUGCCGGUUUUCUUGCAGUAAUUGUAUCUGCUUGUUAAGAUGUUUGUCUUCGGCAUCUAUGGUGAAUAAUGUCUUACUUAUCGUACCGAUUGCGUUUAUUUAUCCUCACUUAUUAACGUAAUAUAUAAUUUUUAGUUGCAUUAAUAAUAAUGUUAGCUUUACGUUGUCUUUUGCAUUAUUUGCAUUAUAUUUCUGCACAUGAAUUAGACGGGGCUUAUGAUGCUCUUGCAUCUUUCAUUCGUUUGCUUUAGGUAGUUUUCUAUUUGCUGCGUUCUUUUUUUCAAUGUUUACAUCCAGUUUGAUUACUAAUUUCCAAGUCGUCUAUACCUGGUUCAUUGACUCAAUCUUUUCAAAAUAUAUUCCUGGCGUAUUGUAGAAUUUCUGCACUACAUACGGCGAUGCAGAGUCAGCUUCGGCGCUGUAGAAAUGUUAUUGUAUGGCUAGUGCCCUGCAAGAUUGAGAUUCAUAUUACAUUUCCUUGAACGGACUUUUAUUCUAUUUUAAUUUUUAUGCUGCUUGGCGUACGCUAGUUCAUCAGCAGCUUUCGCGCCGAAUUAUUCGUUAUUAGUCAUCAUGUUCUGUAUGUGUUGUAUCGUGUGUAUUCGGUUUUAUACACCGACUUUGCGCGUCGUACGAUCGCGUUUAUUGGCUCCAGGUCACGCUACGAUUGCGUGCAUAUGAUGUGAGCGGUGGUCGGAACGUGUAUUCUACAGGACGAGACGUGCGUACUUCCAAGCGGAAGCCAUGGAUUACUAGACGAAUUCUGCUGGAUCGGAUUUUGAUCAUCAUCUGUGACACUACUGGGGUGCGACAUGUGAAGGUAUUACCGCCGUAAUGCUAAGUUCCGGCAUUACGAAUCCCACUGUUGCCAGCAAUUUGUUGUGCCGCUCCGAGCACAACUAGGGAAAGUGACGGAAGAGGAGGAAGGGGACUAUUAACUUUACACUUGGUUUACAGAAUAAACGAGCUUUAUUAUUUAA